GAUGAAGAACGUAGCGAAAUGCGAUAAGUAGUGUGAAUUGCAGAAUUCAGUGAAUCAUCGAAUCUUUGAACGCACAUUGCGCCCUUUGGUAUUCCUUAGGGCAUGCCUGUUCGAGCGUCAUUUGAAACCUCAAGCUCAGCUUGGUGUUGGGUGUCUGUCCCCGCCUCACCGCGGGGACUCGCCUCAAAAUCAUUGGCGGCCGGUACGUUGGCUUCGAGCGCAGCAGAAACGCGAACUCGAGGCCCGGCGGAUCGGCGACCAGAAGUCACUUCUUCACAGUUUGACCUCGGAUCAGGUAGGGAUACCCGCUGAACUUAAGCUUAUCAAUAAGCGGAGGA
rnacentral:misc_RNA from 1 species